rnacentral:rRNA from 1 species
CUACGGGAGGCUCCAGUGAGGAAUAUUGCACAAUGGGGGGAACCCUGAUGCAGCAACGCCGCGUGGAGGAUGACGCAUUUCGGUGUGUAAACUCCUUUUAUAUGUCAAGAAAAUGACGGUAGCAUAUGAAUAAGCACCGGCUAACUCCGUGCCAGCAGCCGCGGUAAUACGGAGGGUGCAAGCGUUACUCGGAAUCACUGGGCGUAAAGGACGCGUAGGCGGGCUUGUAAGUCAGGUGUGAAAUCCUACAGCUUAACUGUAGAACUGCACUUGAAACUACGAGCCUAGAGUAUGGGAGGGGGAGAUGGAAUUAGUGGUGUAGGGGUAAAAUCCGUAGAUAUCACUAGGAAUACCUAAAGCGAAGGCGAUCUGCUGGAACAUUACUGACGCUAAGGCGUGAAAGCGUGGGGAGCAAACAGGAUUAGAUACCCUAGUAGUC